GCCAAAACCGAAUCAAAUUGAAAGCUUGACGGUAGAUUUCCCUAAACCUGAAAUCUCAUCUUUCAUUCUCAAAAACAAUACCCAAUACCCAAAAUCCCAUCUUAUUGUUGAUGAUGGUGUUCUUCGCCAGUUUCACUUGGAUAUCAAAAUUUUGGGAAAGCUGAAGGAAAUGUCGAGAAGAAUUGGGGGUCAGAGAAGAAUUGAUAAAUGUCGAAGAAUCACGGGCAUUGGUUUCAAGAAGCUAUGGCGCGAUUACGGGAUUCGGUUCAAGUACUGUGCUUGAUAAGGGUUCGGGUUCCUGCCUUGGGUCAUUGAAAGGGGUCACUUAGCUCUUCAUGGUUUUACAGAAGGUCCUCCAUUUACCCUUCAGAGGCUUUAUGAGCUAUUGAAUCAGAAAGCCAAGAAUUGGAGCUGGAUCUUUCCAAGUUUGGGUGCUAUAAAUACCAUGUUUGCUUAUUAGAGCAAGAUCUAUCAGAACAAAUGGAUUCUCAUGGCACAAAGAGCAAAUUAAAUGAAAGCAAGUGCAAAAAGGUCCUACAAAAUUAGUGCUUGGAAGCUUCCAAAGCUAAACUCUAAUGAGUCCAUGAGAGUAGCAAAACUUGCAAAGCUACUCUUUUAUGUAAAUUUAUGGAUCGUAUAUUGCUAGUUGAGUACUAUUAGAUGUACUUCUUUUGUGGAUAAAAGAUUACCUUUGCACAAUCCAUUUUGGUGUAUGAUGUGGACUAUAACAAUUUUUUCUAUAUAUUGAUCAGUUACUGUUAAUUUGGUCA
rnacentral:lncRNA from 1 species